rnacentral:rRNA from 1 species
UUACGACUACAUAUCAGGCAUAUCAAUAAGCGGAGGAAAAGAAACUAACUAAGGAUUCCCUCAGUAACGGCGAGUGAAGCGGGAAGAGCUCAAAUUUGAAAUCUUCAAGGUUUUACCUUGACGAAUUGUAGUUUAAAGAAGUGUUUUCUGUUGAAGUUUUGGUAAGAGUUCUUUGGAAUAGGACAUCAUAGAGGGUGAGAAUCUCGUAUUUGACCAUUAUUUCCAGCUGUGUGAUACACUUUCAAAGAGUCGGAUUGUUUGGGAAUGCAGUCCGAAAUGGGUGGUAAAUUUCAUCUAAAGCUAAAUAUUGGCGAGAGACCGAUAGCGAACAAGUACCGUGAGGGAAAGAUGAAAAGAACUUUGAAAAGAGAGUUAAACAGUACGUGAAAUUGUCAAAAGGGAAGCGUUUGACACCAGUGUUGUUUUCUCGAAAAUCAACUAAAAAUAGUUGGAUUUUGUGUUGUAUUGACCUUAACAGCUUGCUUCACUCUUUUCCAGCUUUUUUUAAUGCACUUUUCGUUUAACAAGUCAACAUCAGUUUCUUUUGUUGUAAAAGGGUCAUUGGAAGGUGGCUUUCUCUUCGGAGAAAGUGUUUAUAGCCUUUGAUCUCUGCAAUCGGAGAGACUGAGGUCUGCAGCGUAGAUCCUUCGGGGUUAGGUACAUUUGUGCUAAGCUACAGCUUUUCAUAGACAACUUGUUGACUAUGUUUAGUCUUGUGACUUACCCGCUUAUGCUAUUUUACCUACGCUUAGGAUGUUGAGCGCAUGUCUCUCUCU